rnacentral:rRNA from 1 species
GACGAACGCUGGCGGCGUGCUUAACACAUGCAAGUCGAACGGAAAGGCCUCAGCUUGCUGGGGUACUCGAGUGGCGAACGGGUGAGUAACACGUGGGUGAUCUGCCUUGCACUCUGGGAUAAGCUUGGGAAACUGGGUCUAAUACCGGAUAUGAACUGCCUUUAGUGUGGUGGUUGGAAAGUUUUUUCGGUGCAAGAUGAGCUCGCGGCCUAUCAGCUUGUUGGUGGGGUAAUGGCCUACCAAGGCGUCGACGGGCAGCCGGCCUGAGAGGGUGUACGGCCACAUUGGGACUGAGAUACGGCCCAGACUCCUACGGGAGGCAGCAGUGGGGAAUAUUGCACAAUGGGCGGAAGCCUGAUGCAGCGACGCCGCGUGGGGGAUGACGGCCUUCGGGUUGUAAACUCCUUUCGACAGGGACGAAGCUUUUUGUGACGGUACCUGUAUAAGAAGCACCGGCUAACUACGUG